GACGAACGCUGGCGGCGUGCUUAACACAUGCAAGUCGAACGAUGAACCGGUUUCGGCCGGGGAUUAGUGGCGAACGGGUGAGUAACACGUGGGCAAUCUGCCCUGCACUCUGGGAUAAGCCCGGGAAACUGGGUCUAAUACCGGAUACGACACUCCGAGGCAUCUUGGGGUGUGGAAAGUUCCGGCGGUGCAGGAUGAGCCCGCGGCCUAUCAGCUUGUUGGUGGGGUAAUGGCCUACCAAGGCGACGACGGGUAGCCGGCCUGAGAGGGUGACCGGCCACACUGGGACUGAGACACGGCCCAGACUCCUACGGGAGGCAGCAGUGGGGAAUAUUGCACAAUGGGCGAAGGCCUGAUGCAGCGACGCCGCGUGAGGGAUGACGGCCUUCGGGUUGUAAACCUCUUUCAGCAGGGAAGAAGCGAAAGUGACGGUACCUGCAGAAGAAGCACCGGCUAACUACGUG
rnacentral:rRNA from 1 species